CUUGGUCAUUUAGAGGAAGUAAAAGUCGUAACAAGGUCUCCGUUGGUGAACCAGCGGAGGGAUCAUUAAAGAAGUUCUAUAACUCCCAAACCCAUGUGAACAUACCUUACGUUGCCUCGGCAGGUCGUGCCUACCCCGUAGCGUCCUACCCUGUAAGGCGCUACCCGGUGGGCGCGGUUGAGCCUGCCGGCGGCCUACAAAACUCUGUUUUACCAUUGUAUCUCUGAAAACAUAACCAAAAUACGUUAAAACUUUCAACAACGGAUCUCUUGGUUCUGGCAUCGAUGAAGAACGCAGCGAAAUGCGAUAAGUAAUGUGAAUUGCAGAAUUCAGUGAAUCAUCGAAUCUUUGAACGCACAUUGCGCCCAUUAGUAUUCUAGUGGGCAUGCCUGUUCGAGCGUCAUUUCAACCCUUAAGCCCUCGUUGCUUAGCGUUGGGAGCCUACGGCUGCCGUAGCUCCUCAAAUCUAGUGGCGGAGUCGGUUCACACUCUAGACGUAGUAGAUUUAUUCAUUCUCGCCUACGAGUUGGACCGGUCCCCUGCCGUUAAACCCCCCUUAACUUCCAAAGGUUGACCUCGGAUCAGGUAGGAAUACCCGCUGAACUUAAGCAUAUCAAUAAGCGGAGGAA
rnacentral:rRNA from 1 species